UCGACGGAGUGCUCCGGAAGAGAUUUCGGUCAUGGAUGGAGUUACUUAGUGGCGGACGGGUGAGUAACGCGUGAGGAACCUGCCUUUCAGAGGGGGACAACAGUUGGAAACGACUGCUAAUACCGCAUAACGCAUGGGUAUCGCAUGGUAUCUAUGCCAAAGAUUUAUCGCUGAGAGAUGGCCUCGCGUCUGAUUAGCUAGUUGGUGAGGUAACGGCCCACCAAGGCGACGAUCAGUAGCCGGACUGAGAGGUUGGCCGGCCACAUUGGGACUGAGAUACGGCCCAGACUCCUACGGGAGGCAGCAGUGGGGAAUAUUGGGCAAUGGGCGCAAGCCUGACCCAGCAACGCCGCGUGAAGGAAGAAGGCUUUCGGGUUGUAAACUUCUUUUAAGAGGGAAGAGCAGAAGACGGUACCUCUUGAAUAAGCCACGGCUAACUACGUGCCAGCAGCCGCGGUAAUACGUAGGUGGCAAGCGUUGUCCGGAUUUACUGGGUGCAAAGGGCGUGUAGCCGGGCUGACAAGUCAGAUGUGAAAUUCCGGGGCUCAACCCCGGACCUGCAUUUGAAACUGUUGGUCUUGAGUAUCGGAGAGGCAGGCGGAAUUCCUAGUGUAGCGGUGAAAUGCGUAGAUAUUAGGAGGAACACCAGUGGCGAAGGCGGCCUGCUGGACGACAACUGACGGUGAGGCGCGAAAGCGUGGGGAGCAAACAGGAUUAGAUACCCUGGUAGUCCACGCUGUAAACGAUGGAUACUAGGUGUGCGGGGACUGACCCCCUGCGUGCCGCAGUUAACACAAUAAGUAUCCCACCUGGGGAGUACGAUCGCAAGGUUGAAACUCAAAGGAAUUGACGGGGGCCCGCACAAGCGGUGGAUUAUGCGGUUUAAUUCGAUGCAACGCGAAGAACCUUACCAGGGCUUGACAUCCUGCUAA
rnacentral:rRNA from 1 species